AUCAAACCACUAUACAAAAUGUUUAUAUACAAAAAAGAAGAAAAAAAAAAGAUAGAAAGGUUCACUAUCCUUAAAAUAUGAUAGACAUUCUUUUGGGGCUGAAAAUAGCUGCAUUAUGUUUUCCAAUUGGGAGAUGAUAUAAGUGGUGGUUAUCCUUCUUCUUCACCUUGCUGAGGUAUGUAGCUUUCAAUGCCAAAUUUUCAGAGGUAGAAGGCAACAAUGGUUGUUUGCCACGUCUCCAAACAUGGGAUAGUGACAUGAGAGUUGAGCAAGGGAUUCAGGUGGAAGAAUCUGGGCCAUGCAAACCAAACAUCCAACGGCUGCUAUAUCAAACUUUCCAGUCUCAUCAUCCAGACAACUUUCACAUAAAAAUCAAGAAACUUAACCCCAAAACCUCCAUUUUCUUCCCUUCUUGUCACCCAUAUCUGAUCUAUACACUUCAGAUAUGCUGGAGAUGUUGUUUGCAGUGGCCAUUUCAGUCUUCCCUCUCACACUUUAUAUUCCUCCCUUGAGAAGUUUGAACUCACUUGUAGAGAGCAUGGAGGGGAUUCUCAGAGAAUGGGUAUCAGACCUCCUAGAAAUAUUGUUUCCUCUUAUCUAGCUAGGUUGUCUUAGUCCACAUAUACAUACCUAUAAUUACAUUAGCAGUUCGAUUACAAACUGUUCUAAGUUGAAUCUUUGUAAGUAUAUACUAUUUCUCUUUUGACAAGUUUGGGUAAGGCUGUAAAUUGUAAUAGUUGAUUCUUGGUGAAGAUUCCCACCAAUUUGAGCUGAUCAGUUAUGAACAAUUGUUUAUCUUUUGCCU